rnacentral:rRNA from 1 species
AAUAAGCGGAGGAAAAGAAACCAACAGGGAUUGCCCCAGUAACGGCGAGUGAAGCGGCAACAGCUCAAAUUUGAAAUCUGGCUUCGGCCCGAGUUGUAAUUUGUAGAGGAUGCUUUUGGUGAGGUGCCUUCUGAGUUCCCUGGAACGGGACGCCAGAGAGGGUGAGAGCCCCGUAUAGUCGGCCACCGAUCCUCUGUAAAGCUCCUUCGACGAGUCGAGUAGUUUGGGAAUGCUGCUCAAAAUGGGAGGUAUAUCUCUUCUAAAGCUAAAUAUUGGCCAGAGACCGAUAGCGCACAAGUAGAGUGAUCGAAAGAUGAAAAGCACUUUGAAAAGAGGGUUAAAUAGCACGUGAAAUUGUUGAAAGGGAAGCGCUUGUGACCAGACUUGUGCCGGGCUGAUCAUCCAGUGUUCUCACUGGUGCACUCGACCCGGCUCAGGCCAGCGUCGGUUCUCGCGGGGGGAUAAAAGCUUCGGGAACGUGGCACCUCCGGGUGUGUUAUAGCCCGUUGCUUAAUACCUUCGCGGGGACCGAGGUUCGCGCUCUGCAAGGACGCUGGCAUAAUGGUCAUCAKCGACCCGUCUUG